rnacentral:rRNA from 1 species
AUGCAGUCGAGCGGUAAGGCCCUUCGGGGUACACGAGCGGCGAACGGGUGAGUAACACGUGAGCAACCUGCCCCUGACUCUGGGAUAAGCGGUGGAAACGCCGUCUAAUACCGGAUACGACCCACCACCUCAUGGUGGAGGGUGGAAAGUUUUAUCGGUCAGGGAUGGGCUCGCGGCCUAUCAGCUUGUUGGUGGGGUAACGGCCUACCAAGGCGAUUACGGGUAGCCGGCCUGAGAGGGCGACCGGCCACACUGGGACUGAGACACGGCCCAGACUCCUGCGGGAGGCAGCAGUGGGGAAUAUUGCACAAUGGGCGAAAGCCUGAUGCAGCGACGCCGCGUGGGGGAUGACGGCCUUCGGGUUGUAAACCUCUUUUACCACCAACGCAGGCUCCACGUUCUCGUGGGGUUGACGGUAGGUGGGGAAUAAGGACCGGCUAACUACGUGCCAGCAGCCGCGGUAAUACGUAGGGUCCGAGCGUUGUCCGGAAUUAUUGGGCGUAAAGAGCUCGUAGGCGGCAUGUCGCGUCUGCUGUGAAAGACCGGGGCUUAACUCCGGUUCUGCAGUGGAUACGGGCAUGCUAGAGGUAUGUAGGGGAGACUGGAAUUCCUGGUGUAGCG